rnacentral:lncRNA from 1 species
GAGCUCCGGGAGCGGCCCGCGCAGGUAAGUUUCUCCGCCGCCGCCCGGGGCCCGGGCUGGCCGCAGCGCACCGCCCCGGCGGCUGCCGGGCAGGAGGAGCCUCGGUUCCCCUCGGGCGGCUGAAGGAGGGGCUGAGCCUCAGGACCCCUAGGCCAGGCCGUGCUGAAAGCAGAUACCCCGAGCCCUCGCCCAGCCUGAGCUGGAGGGAAGAAGGCGCUGGAGGUUCUUUUUAUGGUAAAGUACCAGUGGCUUAUAACCGAGAGAAAUUGAAGUCUACUUGCCAGUGUGUGGCUUCUCCAUAUUAAAAUGCUGUACCCUUAAAAGGAAGGUAAAAAUGAUUUUAAUAGUAAUUAUGUUUAAUAUGCUCAUACAC